UAAUCUAUCGCCCACGCGUAAUGCCUCGAUGCUAAGCAUCUCUCAUUUUGCAUCUCGUUCGUUGCCAUUCAUCUCGUCGUGUAAAACGCAAAUAAAAUGGAAAGAAAUAUUUUUUAUUCCAAGAAGCAAUUAUUCAAACAACAAUUUAUCAACGGAUAAGAAAAUCAGAAAUGUCCCUUUUAAUAUUUUUCAAAUUAAUAUUAAAACCAUCUUUCUCUUCUUUUUUACACUCUUACUUAUCUGAAAUUCUUUAUCUCCUAAUUUCGAUAAACCAUUUUACAAAACGUAGGCUAUUGUCCGUUUUACGUUUAACUGUUAUGAAAUUUUGCAGUCCAUUUACGCAUAAUCUUGCGAGUAAAGUACAUUUUGCCAAAAGUAAUCGAGCGUCUGUCUACUUUUGAACAAUACUGUACCCAACAGCUACUUACAGUGGCUACAAAAAGUAUUUCUGUAUUAUUUCUACUAUUCUGUUUAUCCCAGCGUGCUAAUCAAUUAUAUUAAUUGAAACAUAUUAAUUGUCCUCUGUCUGCAAAAGCCUUACCGACAUUUACACGCUGGAUCGUUUAGGAUCAUGCAAUAUCUGUUUACGUUCUCGUGCUUUAAAAAGUGUGCUCAAAAAUUCUUGAAUACUCCUGCAAGUUGUUAGAAUAUCUUCCAAUAAUUUUCAUAUCGAUACAUGUGAAUCUUUUUAAGCGAAGCGGAAUCUAAGCAAAAAUACGAAGAAAGUGGAAAAUCGCUUAAAGUCACUGGUCGAAAACCAUCCACUAUGCAGAUGGACAGAUAAAUUUCGCGUCACUUGAUAGUACUAUCGUAUGACUACGAACUAUUGACACUAGCUGAAAGUGAAAUGUAACGGCUGAUGAAAAAAAAUUGAAAAAGAUAGAGAUACGUAAGUAUUAGCAUUAGGUUGGCAUAAAAGUUUCUUUCGUUUUGUGAGGAAAUAAUAAAUGUACAUUUUUUGUAUCAUAUUAUUGUAUUGAAUUAUGUAUGAUCUAUUUUGUAGUAAUAGAAUCCAUUUUAUUUUAUUCGUACAGAAUUCAUUAAUAAUAACAUUAUAUUUCCUUAUAAAACUAAAGAAACUUUUGGGACAACCUAACGCAUAUAAAUACCUUUUCACAGCCACUGUAUAAGAUUAUAAAAGAUACUGAUAUACAGGAUAUUGUUAGCUGUAGCUGCACAGCCACCACGCACUCAGCAUCGCAAAUAUCGAAAGCCCUGAAGAAAAUUUGAAGAAGAAAUGCUGUAAUUUUAUAAAACUGAAUUCUAAUCGACGAGACGAGUAAACGUGUGACAGAUAUCGUAGAAUAGAAAAAAAAGUGUGUAAUAGGCAAAAAAAGAAAUGUUUAAUAUAAAUUUUACUUAGAAUUCAUACACGUAAGUAGAUAUGACUUUUCUGCCAGUCACUCACUGUGCAUUAUCUGACAUAAUUUAUCUCUCGUACUUAUUCUUUCAUCCAGGCAAAGGAAGCUGUCGGAACAGAUUUAAUUCCCGUUCAUUAGAUUCGUCGCCUUACUGAAUACGAUAUUCUCGAGUUCGCGGUUCAAGGGAAAGCGAAGAAUUCUGGUGGGGUCGAGAGCAACGUUCAAGAUGAAAUCCUCGGCCCUUGUUAAAUCGUCUCGGUCGGGGUCGAACAAUGCGUUCGCCAGCAUCCUCGUUUCUCGGAGUACGAGAUCGUUUACCCUCGAGUGAUCCCGAAUGAGAGCGCGCGGAACAGAAGAUCGACCCACGAAGACCGAGAAACUUGGCGCGAGUAUCUCCACCAAGAGCCGGUGUUCCUCGAGAUCAGCAACUGGACCUUAAGGACCAUGGACAACGAUCGAUUGAUACUGUCGUCGAAUUUCACCGUGAAUUGGGUGCGCCAGGGUAAAACCAAGUCCGAGCGACGUAACGCCAAGGCGAACUGCGAUCUUCGACAAGGCAGCUUGGAAGGAGACGCGAGUUCCUUCGUCGUCGUGACGAUAUGCAAAGAAGAAGUGUACGCCUUGAUGUUGAUCGGGCAGAGAUCGUUCUUCGUUCAGCCGCUGACGAAUGGCCAGCAUGUGAUGUUUCAGCCGAAAAACGAAAAGUGGUGGUCGAUCAGGAAUAAUUCGAGCUUCGUGUCUGUGAAUCCGGAAAAUCCUGCAGGUGAGAAGGAUCGUUAUCGCGAUGGCUUUUCAUCUUUCGUUAGACGGUUGGAUGUAGGUGAUUGGUUGAUCGAUUUACCGACUUCCUUGCCAAUUAUGUUAUAAGCUUCUUACUUUGCGAUCCGCCGUUAAUUGC